UGUGGGAUAUUUUCUGAUUGCAGGUGACGUUCCCUUAGUGUACGUUUUGUAUGUGUUGUUUUCUACUUUUCUCGAUCGUCCUAUAAUACCUAUUGAUUACAAGUGGACCAUAAUCACUCCUAAUUUACCCUUCUAGUGCAGAUUAAGGUUUGAGUGUGCCCACGUUGCUCGACUCGGAUGAUUAUUGGAGCUUUCAAGGUAGUGGAUGAUCUUCAGG
rnacentral:lncRNA from 1 species